GUGACUUCCGGUCUGCCUCUCCUGUGGUGGAACCGUGCUUGACACAUGGGCGUCCGACUUUCUGUUAACUACGAGAUGCUGGGUCCCCUGCUGAACCCAUGUUGAGGCGGAGUGGCAGCCAUGGGAUAGUUACUAACCUGCUUUGCCUUUGGGACUAAAGGCAGGGCCUCUGAGCUGUGGUGUGGAGCUGACAGUCAUGCUGCUGGCUGACUGAAGGAGCAUGUGGAGCAGCUGGCCUGCAGGGGGCGGUAAACACCUACAAAGAACUGAGACUCACCAAGUGUGUUCAGAGUUAUGCUGCCAUGCUGCUCUGAAUGAAGUGCCUGACUCAGUCACCUUCAGGGAUGUGACUGUGCUGCAAGUUAUCAGUACACCCCAUGUUUCAACCAUGUCUGCUCCACCUGAUUGAGGUUGCAGCUGUUAAUAGAACUUGUUUUAAACAUUUUGUUGGAUGUCCUGAGGGCAUCACCUGCGUUUGACAUCUACAGGAAAUUAUUGCAUCGGCAUGAACAGAAUGAAACUCUGGUCUUUGAAUUAAGGUGCAACUUGUAUUAAAAGGUUGGAUGAGCAUUUCUAACUGGAAGACGUGACAGGCAUUGGUUUCUAUUUAUUUUUAUUAUGUUUUUUUCACGCAAUUUUAUUACAGGAUCAUGGAGAGAGGUGCAUCAGUGAAUGUGUCUUUGGUAGGGUUCGAACCUGUUCAACCCAUUCAAGUGAUGCACUGAUGCUACACAAAGUUUCUCAUAUUUGUGUGUAUUGUUUUUUACCUGUACACUUGACCUCAUUGGAAAUGAGGGCAUUCUUUCACUAAUUGAAGAUUUAAAUGUUGAAUGAGGGGGAAAAUUAUCUAAAUUAUGAACAAAUGUUUGAAUAAAAUUUGAUCUUGCAG